GUGGGGAAUCUUGCGCAAUGGGCGAAAGCCUGACGCAGCCAUGCCGCGUGAAUGAUGAAGGUCUUAGGAUUGUAAAAUUCUUUCACCGGGGACGAUAAUGACGGUACCCGGAGAAGAAGCCCCGGCUAACUUCGUGCCAGCAGCCGCGGUAAUACGAUGGGGGCUAGCGUUGCUCGGAAUUACUGGGCGGAAAGGGCGCGUAGGCGGACAGCUUAGUCAGAGGUGAAAGCCCAGGGCUCAACCUUGGAAUUGCCUUUGAUACUGGCUGUCUUGAGUACGGGAGAGGUGAGGGGAACUCCGAGUGUAGAGGUGAAAUUCGUAGAUAUUCGGAAGAACACCAGUGGCGAAGGCGACUCACUGGCCCGUUACUGACGCUGAGGCGCGAAAGCGUGGGGAGCAAACAGGAUUAGAUACCCGGUAGUCC
rnacentral:rRNA from 1 species